CGCACGGCAGAUCCCCUGCGGAGAGCAGCUGGAAAACCACCCAGAGGAGGAAGCACCCGGAUGCGCAGAAUGUGCAUUUGUGGAGACAUUUACAGCCAGCGGCCAGGCCUGACCCAGACUGCAAGGAACAACCUGCAUGGGCUACAUGGGCUGUGGGGUCAACAUGGUUAUCACUCUUCCUACCCAUAUACCAGGAUGCUGCUCACCCAGUUACUCAAACAGGCUGAAAAGUCACCUCUGGGCUCCAAUUAGUUGCCUUUCAAAAACCUUCUCACAGAAGAUAGAUGCAUUCCUUGACCUCUGCAGACCCUCAGCAGCGCUGCAAUGCUUGCCAUCAUCUCCCAUUCCUGAUUAUUGAAGUGCCUGCUGAUCGCCCAGGAACAUCUGCACAGCCCCCAGUCCUACAUGGCUUUGGCUGAGAGAUGGAAAGCAACAUGGGUGUGAGAGAGGAAGUGACACUGGUUCCUCAACCCACUCCUCGCUUCUUCUUAGUGUUAUAGGAGUCCUUCCAAUUUUAAAGACAACCAAAGCUGGGUUUCUCAAAGCAUCUUUCCACUUCAUGUGGAAUAAUGGCAAGCAGGCUGUUCUAGUUGCAGUUGGUUGGUGAAAUUUGCCAGGAAAAAAAGGAUUUAAUCAGAAAAUGUGAAUGCCUUGGCUCAGAAAUGAUUUGUAGAAGCAGACUGAAUGCAGUCUCUUGAAAAGCUCCAAGUGUUUUUUAAGUCCUGGGAACUCCAGCUCCAGAGCUGCACAUUAUAACAUUUUGCAACUAUUGAGGGAAAAUUGGUGGCAUCUGUUACCUUUACUGUUACUAUUCAGAAGAGGGAAAGUGAUAAAGUUACAGGAAAUUAUAUCAAUUUCACAGAGUUGUUGUUGAGAUGACAGGCGGUGCACAGAUUUUCCAAGGGAAUAUCAUGUGUCUGUGAAAGAUAUCCUUAUUGUAGGAAAUUGCAAAGAAUAAAAUUAUCCACAACCUGGAAAAUUUUCCACUUUCCACAAGUGUUUACUGCAAAGAAGUUUUCAGUAUUUCUUCUGGUCCAGAAAAAAAAAGAAAACACAAUAUGUAAUCCUUAAGCUGUUACUCAUUCCUUGAAUAAUAGAUUCUAUUUUUCACAAAGGCUCUAAGCAAUGCCCUCCUGGCAUCUGUAGGAACAUGCCACAUCAACAGUUGUGGAAGUAGAAGUGAAGAAGUCUUCAGGUCACUCUCACAGUGUAUACUUUUUGAGUUUCAGAACAUGCAGCAGGGCAAUGUUAGCAGCCCUGUAGGCUGGCUGUAGCUCUGAGGAGAGGGCCACACAGGGUCAGCCUCCUGAUAUAGCUACAUGUAAAUAGCUGGGUUUGGGGAUUUAUAAUGAGAUCUCAGGAGACGGGUUCUGCUGUUGCUAAUUGUUGUUACUCAACUGAAUGGGAAGAUGGGUUUAGACAUCUGCAGCAGGGAAACUGCAGAGCUCUGUGGAGCCUUCCAUGAAAUUAAAUGGUGUUGUAUGUAAUACUCUGUGCUCAAAUGAACUCGAGUGCUGGUGAUCAGGAGUGAAGGCCCAGGCUCCAGCAAAAGCGGAGCACGAGGUUCAGACUGUGCCGAGAGUGCCCGUGCUGCAUUUCCCAGUAUUGCAACUGCAGCUGCAUGCUGGGCACAGGGUUUGCUUGAGCACCACCACAUCAGCAGGCUUACCUGCUCCUUGACAGGAGGAAAGGUCCCACAUGGCAACCGCUGCCAGCUGUGGCAUGUUCCCUGCUUGGAGGUAUAUUUUCAAGCAGCAGGGCAGCACUUGCUGUUCCCCCACCACUGCAUCCAUAAAGAACAAUGAGGAUUAUAGUCAAGCCCAGCAAGCUGGGAGACUGUAUGGGGCUGCUGAAUCUCAGCCUGAACUUCUGAUCACCUGAGGUGAGCAAU